CGGCAACAGCUCAAAUUUGAAAUCUGGCCUUCGGGUCCGAGUUGUAAUUUGCAGAGGAUGCUUUCGGCGACGCAUCGACCGAGUCCCCUGGAAUGGGGCGCCAUAGAGGGUGAGAGCCCCGUAUGGUCGGCUGCUGAACCGGUGUAAAGCUCCUUCGAC
rnacentral:rRNA from 1 species